rnacentral:rRNA from 1 species
AAUGGAUGACCCCAAGUCGGAUUAGCUAGUUGGCGGGGUAACGGCCCACCAAGGCGACAAUCCGUAGCUGGUCUGAGAGGACGACCACCCACACCGGAACUGAGACACGGUCCGGACUCCUACGGGAGGCAGCAGUGGGGAAUAUUGGACAAUGGGGGAAACCCUGAUCCAGCGACGCCGCGUGUGUGAAAAAGGCCUGCGGGUUGUAAAGCACUUUUAGUGGGGAUGAAAAGCCUAGGGAUAACACCCCUGGGUCUUGACUUAACUCACAGAAAAAGCACCGGCUAACUCUGUGCCAGCAGCCGCGGUAAUACAGAGGGUGCGAGCGUUAAUCGGAAUUACUGGGCGUAAAGCACGCGUAGGUGGCUUUGUAAGUCGGAUGUGAAAUCCCCGGGCUCAACCUGGGAACUGCAUUCGAAACUGCAUUGCUAGAGUGCGGAAGAGGGAAGUG